rnacentral:rRNA from 1 species
UCGGCUGWCRCUUAUGGAUGGACCCGCGUCGCAUUAGCUAGUUGGUGAGGUAACGGCUCACCAAGGCAACKAUGCGUAGCCGACCUGAGAGGGUGAUCGGCCACACUGGGACUGAGACACGGCCCAGACUCCUACGGGAGGCAGCAGUAGGGAAUCUUCCGCAAUGGACGAAAGUCUGACGGAGCAACGCCGCGUGAGUGAUGAAGGCUUUCGGGUCGUAAAACUCUGUUGUUAGGGAAGAACAAGUGCUAGUUGAAUAAGCUGGCACCUUGACGGUACCUAACCAGAAAGCCACGGCUAACUACGUGCCARCAGCCGCGGUAAUACGUAGGUGGCAAGCGUUAUCCGGAAUUAUUGGGCGWAAAGCGCGCGCAGGUGGUUUCUUAAGUCUGAUG